CCUGAGGCCAGCCCAGACCAGAGGGAGGGACGUGGGAGUCCCCCCAGGAGGGGCAGUACAGGAGCUCUGACGCCCCGUGCUGUAUGUUUGGGGAGAGGCUGCCACGUGGUCAGUGCCCAGCAGACCAUGUCGUCGCAGGCUUGCUCCUUGACUCGAUGGAACGCAGGUUUCAGGAGUGCCUCAUCGACUGCCCAGCACUGCUGGAUGCAGAGAGGAAGCGGGAGCAGGCGGACUGUGGGUCACGGUCAUCAGAGAAGAGCCCCGGAGAGUGUUUCUGCAUCUUCUGUAACAGUUUCUCGGAAGACAUGCCUGACUGUCUUUUCAUAGUGUUUUCUUCUGGAGAGCUAGUGCGUUUCACUUUUAGGUAAAUCACGAGAAUUGUGUGUUCUGCCAUUUCCACGUGUUCAUUAGCCUCUGGGACUCAGCACCUGGGUGUGUCACUGAGCCACUCACGGUGGGCGGAAGGUCCGGCUCUCCUCUCUCCUACUGUAUGUUAGACUUUGAUUGCCUUCUGGCAGACUUAUUUUAUUCUUGUCUUUCAUGUUGUCACCUGUUCUUUUUGGAAAUUGGGGGAGACCUGAGAUGCGCGUUUGCGAGUCUUCCUGUGUCCUGGGUAUCCCCCCCACCGCAGUACCUGGAGCGGACCUCGGCUGCUCUGGGUCAGGCAGCUCAGCCCAGAGCCCUCCUGGCUUGUAAACCAGCCUGCAGUAGAGGAGGCUGCCUGUAACUUGAUUCUGAAGUCUAGCCUCGUCUGAUUGUGGGGAUGUUCUUUCUUUUAAUGUGUGUGCUCGGUCGCUCAGUUGUCCGACUCUUGGCGACACCAUGGACUGUGGCCCACCAGGCUCCUCUGUCCAUGGAAUAUCCCAGGCAGGAAUACUGGAGUGGGGGCCACUUCCUCCUCCAGGGAAUCUUCCCGACCCAGGGACCAAGCUGCGUCAGUUCUGUGUCUCUGCUGCGUUGACAGGCGGGGUCUUUUUACCCCUGAGCCAUCUGAGAAGCUGUUCUAUUUAAUAUCAAGUGUUAAAAGAAAAUAGCAAGGCAGUCAAAAACAUAGUCAAGGAAAGAGAAUGUUUUCAUCAUGAAACUGAUCUCCGGUGGGG
rnacentral:lncRNA from 1 species